CAACUGUCAAAAUGUUUUGAAAAACAAAAUGCUCUUAUUUCGAUGCAUUUCAAGAGUUUUGUUGUGAUAAAAACACUGGAAUAUAGACUGAAAUACUAUCCAACCAUUAGACUCAUGAUCUUGACAUGGAUCCAAGAUGCUGGUAACUAGGCGGGACGGAUUGUUUCACAGAACUGCAGGUUUCUGGAUGGAGACUCAGCGCCAUGUCACAAAUACUUCAGAACCUAGCAUGAAAGUUACCAAAAGAGCAAUAGACUUUCCAAUCUCUACAAAAUUCAUCUUAACUAUUCUUCAAGGUGAUACUUGAGACUACCAA